UACGGAGGGUGCGAGCGUUGUCCGGAAUUAUUGGGCGUAAAGAGCUCGUAGGCGGUUUGUCGCGUCUGCUGUGAAAACUCGGGGCUUAACCCCGGGCCUGCAGUGGGUACGGGCAGACUAGAGUGCGGUAGGGGAGACUGGAAUUCCUGGUGUAGCGGUGAAAUGCGCAGAUAUCAGGAAGAACACCCGUGGCGAAGGCGGUUCUCUGGGACGGUACUGACGCUGAGACGCGAAAGCGUGGGGAGCGAACAGG
rnacentral:rRNA from 1 species